UUCACUUGACAAGGAUUCUUGAUGCCAAACCUUCCCAACUGUUAGACGAAUGUCAAGCUAAGCAUAUGGCUCUCAUUCAAACAGCUUUCUUCCUGGCUAUAAUCAAGGUUUCAUUAUGGCCGUCUUUUGGAGAAAAAUUUCCCGAGCCCGUGUUGUUUCUACCUCUCAAUAAACAAUACGGUACACGAGACAUCAGUAAGAGUAAUCUGACUACGACGGCUGUUGGUGUUACCUUAUCUCCUGGACCAGAUGGUGAACCAGACGGGUCGUACUACUUUCCA